AGCUGCUGAGACCCCCUAGAAGUGGUAAUGAAAAGUGUAACUUUAGCCUCCCAGCUGUACGUCUCAAUCCAUAAUCCUUCCCCAAAAACCUCACCAUAGAGCCGCCUGCCACUCCCAUGGCGUGCCCAGCCUACACCUCACCGGGCCUUCACGAUUUAUGUAGCACUCCGGAUUCAUACUCUCAACCCCGUAAAAAAAAAGGAUUUGCUCUCUCUUAUAUGACCCGGGGUGGUCAGGGGAGCACGGUGGAAACACAAAAAAGCCCAGUGUCGGAGCCUCACUCCCCAGAUAUGAUUUCUCCUUCAACACGGGGCCAUACCUUGGGAUACUUUAGGACACCAGGCCGGCGUCCGAGCGACCGGAGAGGUUGGGUGGUGGCAGAUCAGCGUGUGGAAGCCAUUCAGAGGGUUGUCAAUAGGACCACUGUCCAUCAUCGUCAGUUGACGGACAGACUUGAACCAAAAGAAAUCGCUCAAUUUCCCAGGAUGCGGUCUCCAUGGCUGAAGAGAAACAACACACAACCUGACGGGCAAGAGACAAUCAUACUCAGGAACGGCCCCUUCCCCAUCACCGCUGGCCGUGUCAAGCUUGGAAAUGGAUCCCGGCCGCCUCUGAAGCAUUUAGCACCACAAUUAUCCCCCCAUUCACAGGGCUGCCUGCGCUAAUGUAAACCACACCAGGCACUAGCCGUCAUUCAACCGCAGUAAAAAAAGGCAAUGCAGAAACCCAUCCUCUGUGACAGCAAUUUGACGCAAUUCCGUCCCUGUGUCACCGUUGCUACAAAUAGGGGUCAACUCAUUUAUUAAGCAAUUUCUA
ensembl:lncRNA